AGCGAACGCUGGCGGCAGGCUUAACACAUGCAAGUCGAGCGCACGUAGCAAUACGUGAGCGGCAGACGGGAGAGUAACACGUGGGAACGUACCCUUCGGUUCGGAAUAACUCAGGGAAACUUGAGCUAAUACCGGAUACGUCCGAAAGGAGAAAGAUUUAUCGCCGAGGGAUCGGCCCGCGUCCGAUUAGCUUGUUGGUGGGGUAAUGGCCCACCAAGGCGACGAUCGGUAGCUGGUCUGAGAGGAUGAUCAGCCUCACUGGGACUGAGA
rnacentral:rRNA from 1 species